rnacentral:rRNA from 1 species
AUGGCUUGCUGGAGGAUCCUGCUGGCCGGAGGUGACCGGGACGGUCGCUGGGCUUGGGGAGGCGCCGGACUUGCUGGACCUCGCGAUGAAUACCCCGGGGAAGCAAGGAACGAGGCGACCACGGCAGUGCUCCACUCCUCCCAGUGCUCCUUCUGCGAGGAGAGUUGGCAGCGGGGACAUGGGCGCAGGGCGACGCGCUUUAGGGCCAGCACGGUGGCCUCCAUGGCCGGCAGCCGUGCGGUCCGAAGGAGCUCCAGGCACGGGCUCCAGGCCAAGGCGACGGCGAGGCGGGUCGAGGGCGGCGGUGCUGGAGAGAAGCGAUGA